rnacentral:rRNA from 1 species
GUGUCAGCAGCCGCGGUAAUACGAAGGGGGCUAGCGUUGCUCGGAAUUACUGGGCGUAAAGGGAGCGUAGGCGGAUAGUUUAGUCAGAGGUGAAAGCCCAGGGCUCAACCUUGGAAUUGCCUUUGAUACUGGCUAUCUUGAGUAUGGAAGAGGUAUGUGGAACUCCGAGUGUAGAGGUGAAAUUCGUAGAUAUUCGGAAGAACACCAGUGGCGAAGGCGACAUACUGGUCCAUUACUGACGCUGAGGCUCGAAAGCGUGGGGAGCAAACAGGAUUAGAUACCCUGGUAGUCC